rnacentral:rRNA from 1 species
GAUGAACGCUGGCGGCGUGCCUAAUACAUGCAAGUCGAGCGGACGGACGCGAAGCUUGCUUCUCUGAUGUUAGCGGCGGACGGGUGAGUAACACGUGGAUAACCUACCUAUCAGACUGGGAUAACUUCGGGAAACCGGAGCUAAUACCGGAUGAUAUUUUGAACCGCAUGGUUCAAAAGUGAAAGACGGUCUUGCUGUCACUUAUAGCUGGAUCCGCGCUGCAUUAGCUAGUUGGUAAGGUAACGGCUUACCAAGGCAACGAUGCAUAGCCGACCUGAGAGGGUGAUCGGCCACACUGGAACUGAGACGCGGUCCAGACUCCUACGGGAGGCAGCAGUAGGGAAUCUUCCGCAAUGGGCGGAAGCCUGACGGAGCAACGCCGCGUGAGUGAUGAAGGUCUUCGGAUCGGAAAACUCUGUUAUUAGGGAAGAACAUAUGUGUAAGUAACUGUGCACAUCUUGACGGUACCUAAUCAGAAAGCCACGGCUAACUACGUG